AUUGAACGCUGGCGGCAGGCCUAACACAUGCAAGUCGAGCGAGCGGCGGACGGGUGAGUAAUGUCUGGGAAACUGCCUGAUGGCUGGGGAUAACUACUGGAAACGGUAGCUAAUACCGCAUACCAUCAGAUGUGCCCAGAUGGGAUUAGCUAGUAGGUGGGGUAACGGAUCACCUAGGCGACGAUCCCUAUCUGGUCUGAGAGGAGUACCAGCAAAACUGGAACUGAGACACGGUCCAGACUCCUACGGGAGGCAGCAGUGUGGAAUAUUGCACAAUGGGCGUAAGCCUGAUGCAGACAUGCCGCGUGUGUGAAGAAGGCCUUCGGGUUGUAAAGCACUUUCAGCGGGGAGGCGUUACCCGCAGAAGAAGCACCGGCUAACUCCGUGCCAGCAGCCGCGGUAAUAC
rnacentral:rRNA from 1 species